rnacentral:rRNA from 1 species
UCUGGCGGCUUUAGCGCGGUGGUCCCACCUGACCCCAUGCCGAACUCAGAAGUGAAACGCCGUAGCGCCGAUGGUAGUAUGGGGUCUCCCCAUGUGAGAGUAGGGAACUGCCAGAC